GAGGUUGUGGCUCAGUGGUAGAGUGCUUGCCUGACAUGUGUGAGUCCCUGGGUUCAAUUCUCAGUACCACA
rnacentral:tRNA from 1 species